rnacentral:lncRNA from 1 species
UUUUUUCACUGACUGCACAGAGAGGGUAUGUAUUCUGCAAAGUUCAGAUUGAAAACCUGCUUUGUAGCCUAGGUGGAACCCAGACCCCUACUAAGCACGCAGUACUUUGCCACAGGUAGUGUGUGCGUGGUGGCUAGUGGGCUGAUCGGUUUGUAGUUCCUAGGAUCUUCCCUUACCUCUGCUAAAAGACCACUAACAUCACUCUCCUCCUUCUUCUUUCUUUUUUUUUUUUUUCCCCAGUGUUGUGCAAAGCAAAAUAAUGAAUGUUGAAUCAAUAGAAGAAUCCACAGUUUAACUGCUCUAAGGCAAAAAAAAAAAGCAAUUUAAAACUAUAAAUUAUUUUUCUUAAAGCAUUUUAGCAGCAUCAUCGUUCUGUGUUUUACUUGAAAUAUUAUUUGGAUCCCCUUCAUGUGAAAUGCUUUAUUUAAAGCUUUUUCAGACUGUUAAAUUAAUAGAUUAGUUUUAGUAGUGAACCAGUUGGAGUUAAUCAAUUGAGUACAACUGUACAGAGGCUCUGUAAGCUAGGCUGGAUUUGAAGGGUUUAAUUUUAAUCAUAGUCUGAGAGCUACAGCUGCUUCAUGUUUGUUUAGUAAUAGAGUUGAUGAGCAGCUAAUUUGAAAGGAAAGUGCAGACACAGGUGUGAAAUUCCUCAUGAGUAUAAGAGAACUGGCUCUGGAGGCACCAAGUUGGUGCUGAACAUAUUGCACUAUGGUUUGUCUGUAUCAGACUUUCUGCCUUGACUACAGCUUCCAACAGGCUGACCAGCUGAGGAUUUAACUGCUUUGGCACCUUACUCUGCUCAAACUGUUGUGGUUCCACUUGGAAAUAUUUAAAACAAAGCAAAAGGGUCUUCCAGAGACCAGCAGAGUUACAAAUAAAGAAGUAUUUGAGAAGCAGGCAAAAGUCCUCAUGAAAACUGCAGGUCAGUAAAAGUGACCACAAUUGCCUUCACGCCUAUAGACAGAAAUGCAGCUUGAAGACA